GGCAACGUGGCUGAGUGGUUAAAGCGUACGACUAGAAAUGGACAUAUCUAUAGAAUAUAUCUACCAUCUUGCAAUCGUAUCCCUUCGGGGUCACAGGUUCGAGUCCUGUCGUUGUCG